AAGUGCUAAGAUUAUCACAAAUUAAACAAGACUUCCUGACUGGCAGACCGCAGUCUGUUAGGAUUGGAAAUAGGACCUCGGACACUGUCAUUACAAACACUGGCACCCCACAAGGGUGUGUUCUCAGUCCCAUCCCUAUCCGAUACAUGAGGGUGAGUCAUUAACGACUCACCCUCAUUUCGUUCCAAACCCAUAAGACCUCCGUUUAUCUUCGGAACACAGUUUAAGAUAUUUUAGAUUUAGUCCGAGAGCUUUCUGACCCUCCAUUGAAAAUGUAUGUACGGUAUACUGUCCAUGUCCAGAAAGGUAAUAAAAACAUCAUCAAAGUAUAGUCCAUGUGACAUCAGAGGGUCAGUUAGAAUUUAUUGAAGCAUCGAAAAUACAUUUUGGUAUUUUCAACUUUAUUCAGCACUGUCUUCUCUUCCGGGUCUGUUGUAAGUGCGUUCACAACACUGCAGUGACGCCGCUGACGUACGACGCUGCUGACAUGUUAUCUUUGUUAUUGGGCGCACCAGAAAAUACGUCAGCAGCGUCGUACGUUAGUGGCGUCACUGCAGUGUUGUGAAUGGAGGUCUUACGCGUUUGGAACGACAUGAGGGUGAGUCAUUAAUGACAUAAUUUUAAUUUUUGGGUGAACUAACCCUUUAAUGUGCCUUAACUUAUUUAGAUGAAACGAUAAAGUUGCUUUUUGGCAAUGGCUUCAAACAAAGAGAAAUGUACUCUUUUCUUGCUGCUUCUGGAUACAACAUCAGUGAAAGGCAUCUAAGAAGAUUAAUAAAAUCCCUUGGUUUAAUACGGAGGAGUUUUGACAGGCCCCAUAGUGAAAUUCGCCAAGCUGUUAUGGUACAGUAUGUCUUAAAGCAGUGUUCUGCGUUCCUGCUCCUGGAAAGCCACUAACUUUCUGAUUUCAGUUCCAGUCAUUUACUAAAACACCUGCAGUCAGCUGCAAAAAAACUGCCUGAAGUUAAGAAAAAUCCAAAUGGCUAAGUGUGGUGUCUCAUACUCUGAAUUUGUGCUCUGCAUUUAACCCAUCCAAGUGCGCGCGCCACACACACACACACACACACACACACACACACACACACACACACACACACACACACAUGCACACACCAUGAACACACACCCGGAGCAGUGGGCAGCCACUUUUUGCUGCAGCACCCAGGGAGCAGUUGUGGGUUCAGUGUCUAGCUCAAAGGGACCUCUGUUGUGGGUAGUCCUGGUCAUUCACUCCCCCAACCUUCAUUCCCUGCUGGUGCUGAGACUCAAUCCCGUGACCUUCAGGCUACAAGUCUGACUCUCUAACCAUUAGGCCACGACCCAUAAACCUAACUGUGUUUCAACUGGACACUGGCAGUAAUUUCCAUGUAAACUCAAAUGCUUUGAUUUGUUGAUUCAGAUGCAUUUAAUUAAGUCAGGGUGUCCAAUCCUGCUCCUGGAGGUUGUGUGUGUGUGUGUGUAAAAUAUUUAUUGUGGUAAUAAUCCAAAAUAAUAUUUAUUUAGAGUGAGCUUAUGCACUGGUCACCUUUGCAAGGAAUCUGUGCAUUGCACAAUCCAGCCUUGCUACAGGUAUAUAUAUAUAUUAUCUAUAUUAACCCUAUU
ensembl:lncRNA